rnacentral:rRNA from 1 species
UACGGAGGGCGCGAGCGUUACCCGGAUUUACUGGGCGUAAAGGGCGUGUAGGCGGCCUGGGGCGUCCCAUGUGAAAGGCCACGGCUCAACCGUGGAGGAGCGUGGGAUACGCUCAGGCUAGAGGGUGGGAGAGGGUGGUGGAAUUCUCGGAGUAGCGGUGAAAUGCGCAGAUACCGGGAGGAACGCCGAUGGCGAAGGCAGCCACCUGGUCCACUUCUGACGCUGAGGCGCGAAAGCGUGGGGAGCAAACCGG